rnacentral:rRNA from 1 species
GAUGAACGCUGGCGGCGUGCCUAAUACAUGCAAGUCGAGCGAAAAGACGAGGAGCUUGCUCCUUCGACGUUAGCGGAGGACGGGUGAGUAACACGUAGGUAACCCACCUAUAAGACUGGGAUAACUUCGGGAAACCGGAGCUAAUACCGGAUAAUAUUUCGAACCGCAUGGUUCGAUAGUGAAAGAUGGCUUUGCUAUCACUUAUAGAUGGACCUGAGCUGUAUUAGCUAGUUGUUACGUUCAAGGCUUACCAAGGCAACGAUACGUAGACGACCGGAGAGGGGGAUCGGCCACACUGGAAGUUAGACACGGUCCAGGCGACUACGGGAGGCAGCAGUAGGGAAUCGUCCGCAAUAGGCGGAAGCCUUACGGAGCAAGGCCGCGUGAGUGAUGAAGGUCUUCGGAUCGUAAAACUCUGUUAUGAGUGAAGAACAAACUUGUAAGUAACUGAGCACGUCUUGACGGUACCUAAUCAGAAAGCCACGGCUAACUACGUG